GAAGGGGAGUGGGGAGUAGACAUUUGAAAGGUGGAAAAUAAACAGGAAUGGGAAACUCAGAGAUUGCACUUGUAAAGGAUGGCGUUGCCUGGAAGGUCUGCACUUAAUUGAAGUAAUGUGGUUCUUGCUGUCUUAUUUGAGAUGAGUUAAGGUGGUCAAAACUCACUCACUGUUCCAUUCUAGUAUGGAAAAGGUGAAGGACCUUGAGUAAUACAAUGUGGCCUGUUCCUCUUGUAGGGUUUCGGUAGUUGUGAACUCUGGACAAAGAUGAGUCAGACCACUUUCUCUUUAAAGAGGCAAACAGAAAGCUUUUUUCUGUUUCAGGGGACACUAAUCUUCUCCUGUUCAGUUUUGACAUGUUGGAUGUGCUUUGAUGCUUUAACGUAUUUCUGUGCAUUUACUUCUGAGCUACCAUUGCUUUUAGAAAGCCAAGCUGCUUAAGCUCUGUGGCAGUGAUUAGGUUUUAUUCUCUCCUGCCCAGUCAGUUCCAAGUGCUGUCAGGAACUUCUCUGCCUUUAUAAACCUCCUUUUCUUCCCUACCCAUCUCCACGUAGAUUUUCAGGUUGCUGAAGAGUUCAUGUUGCAUCCUUCGCUCCCCAUCUUUCCCAAGCACUGAGAUCACGUGCAUCUUCUUGGGACUGAGUAUCUUUGAGGUUGCUGUUUGGAGGUGGCCAACAGAUUCCAGCCUCCCUAUAGUGAGCGUGGGCCCAUAGAGCCAGAAUAAGUGUCCGUGCCAGAAGGAAGGUCAUUCUGUUCACCUUUUUGCUAAGGCAUAGCUUCCUAAUACUUCUUCAGAUUACUGCUGUGGCAGCUGAACCAAAGACUGAACCAGACGUGAAGGUUGUGACAGUAGGGGGAGAGGUGGAGAGGAACGUGAUGAAAUACAGACGGGGAGACUUGCAUGAGGGAGCUGCGAAGCGGCGUGGGAUGUCAGCCUGAUGUGCAAAUGGCUGAUGGAGAACCUUGCUCUCAGGUCUCUGAAUAGUGCAUAUUGUGGGGGAAGAUGAAGGCUGGAAUGAUAGAGAUUGAGGUAGGGAUGGAGGGAGUCUGCUGCUGUUCUGACAUGGAGUGGGGCAAAGGGCAGGUGAUAAGGAAGAGGCUGCAGAAGCCUACCUGGCUGGACAAGUUGAGAUUCUUGCUAAAAUGGUCAUGAGUAGAAGUCUUUCAGGUGUGAAAGACUUCCUUGUGUGUGUGUGACAGGCUUCCCUAUCACACCCACUUCCUGUGUCCCUGCACCAUUUUGGGAAUCGUACAGAACUCAACUGAACUUCUUUUAACAACAGAAAUUCCAGAAACGGAGUCCCUGGGGUGGGAAGAGGGGAGGGAUACGUUCUCUGAGCUGUUGCUCCCAUGGCCAUCAUCCGUGGCACCAUUCGUCCCAAGUAUUCCACCCCAUUUGUGUGACAAACAGCAGAGUGGGUAAGACACGAUCCCUUGGGGUUUGUGCCAGCUGCUCUUUAGGCUCUUGCUACCAUGCUAGUCCUGCCUCCCACUUGUGUGCUGUAGUUAGGCAGGCAGAAAUCUAGCAUAAAGGACUGUGUGGUUUUCACUGGUCCCAUGAUAGGGAUUGCUUAUUUGGACCUCCUGGAUCUAGUAAGUGUCAUGAAGCAGGAAGGGAACUUUCUCUGCAAUUGAUACAAGUGGUACCUGAAAGUUACCAGAAGAGGAUGGAGCACAGUUAGAGAACUUUCUUUUCUUACGCAGGGAAAACGGGCAAAAACCCCAAACGUGAAGGAAUGGUUGAUGCAAGUAAUGAUGUGAUUCAGCCAGUUCUCAUGGGCAGUUCUUUAUUACUCAUUUCCUUUACGAUUCGCCUGAGCUUGACUCCUUUGCCGGUGCAGAGAUGUGCAGGAGAUCAAGAUGGGAAAAUAAGCAUAGGUGCUUUGGAAGUACUUGCCUCUGCUGAGCCAAGAUGCUGGACCCGCAGUGCUGAGCAGUGCCUGCGAUUCUGAUCCCUGUUCAAGAGCGUUCUGCUGUUGCGCAUUUGAUGCCCUUGGAUGUUUCACGCUGCAGGGAUAUGUGAGCUUCCCAGUCCUCCUCUGCGGCGGGGAGAACCGAGCGAGCUCUUGGUUCAGGGGAAAAGCAGAGCUCAGGGAGCCUGGAGGAACUUGCCCUGGGUUUCACCUGCUGAGCCUGUGCUGUUGAGGUGCGGGUGGGGGCCUUGACCGCUGGAUGGAGCUCUGAUCCGCUUUGUAGGACGCGUUAAAUGCGCCGCUACGCCUGGUCUGUGCUGCGCGUGUUUAGGCGCAGGUUUCCAACGUUCUUCUUGCUCAGCUCUCAAGGGUGGGAGCUCCAGUGUCCAGGGUUUGGGCACUCUAUGAAAUGGCUGGGUUGAAGUGGUAGUGGGUUCUUCUGAAGGUCCGGGGCGUAUGGGACAGUCCUCCAGUCUGCAACUUGGUUGUAUUUGACGCUAUAAGGUGAUAAGCUUUCAAGGAGCUGCUGCUUAAAAUCAUUGGCAGUAGGCAUUGGCAGCCUUCUAGUUCCAUCUCUGGACAAAUCGGAUCACCACAAUCACUAGCCAGUGUGGAGAUGAUGGUUUAUUUGGCUGGUGACAACAGGUAUUUUUUUUCCUGCCUGUUGACUUUCAGUCUUACAUUGUGAUUCAUGAGGAGUGUGGAAGAGGCAGUGUUUUCUGAGGGAAGGAGGCGUGUUUUGAGCCUUUCCAAGCAGUGUGAAGAACACCGUUAAUAUCCAGACCACUGACCACAGAGGCACAGCGUUUAAGCUGUGUUCGCUUGGCUCUCCCCACGGGAGCUGUUCCCUGGGUGACAGUGGUGUGAGAGAAAGGGAGCAUGAGUGAGGAAUAUGUGCUUGUUAGAAAGCUGCUGCCUGGCUCCUGACUAAUGGGUGCUGGGAAUGCUGCCGGCAGGAGGCAUUGCUGUCCAGCUGGAGCAGCAUGGAAAUGGAGUUCUUUUUAACCUGUGGACACUGGCUUUGCACUUUCUUAUUUAGAAACCUAUAAUUGGCCUGCAAAGAUCUAAUUAUGUGUUUUUUAUGGGGCACAUUUAUUAGUGCUGCCCUUUGAAUUUAAUCCAGGCUUUGUCAAUUCCUUGCUCUUGGCUGUGCUGUGGACAGACAAUAGUCUCUCCUGCUGGUGCUUGUGUGCCAAAGGCAAAAGGAAGCCUCUAACCUCUAAGCAGUGGAAUGCAACAGGAGCAAGUUGCUGAGAGCCAGUAGGACCUGGAAGGACCAGGGGUUCUUGCACCAUCCCUCCCUGGGGCUGCUGAGUUCUUCAGAAGCUGCACCCUGCUCUUCUCCAUCUCUUAAGCACCAGUGCCAGAAUAUAGAAAAGAUAACCAUACCUGAGGAGCAUUUCACUGUCACUGCUUCAUACCAUAUCUGGUUAUUUAAAGAAGUCUUCAGAGUAAACUUAAGAGCAAUCUGUUGCCUUGGGCAACCUGACAUUGCAGAGAAUAGGGUUGGAAAAGGCACUGCACAUGGACUGUGACCUGGUGAAGGCCUCCAAGAAUACAGCAUUGAGAUCACUAACCAUGUGUAACAGUAAUUAUGUUCUGAGAGCAGGUACUCUGAUGUAGAAACCACCCAUGCUCUCUCCCACGCUUCUGCAGUACCUGUACUGGGUCAGACUGGAUUGCUUUGGUAGAUACAAAAUGUAAUUGUCACUAAAAUAUGGAGGUGAGAUGCUAUAAUCUGGUUAUCUAGCCAAGAUCCUGAGACUUUAUGAAGUGUACAGUAUACACAGAUAACCCUAAGUCGCCACAUAAUCCACUGUGCUUCUUGUAGCCCUUUUCCUCAUCUUUCCAUCAUGUUGAGUAAGAUCUCAUCCUGCUUUUCCCCUUAGUUUGAGUAUCUUUGUGUAGCAACUGCACAGGAAAUACGUGCUAGUCACUGGGAGACAUGGGCUCAAGACGCAGCUCUCGGGGCCAGCACAGGGUCUUUCUGAUGUGAGCCAGCUUGAAACGUGGCUUGUCUGGGGACAAGACACACAGGGAACAGGAGGCCCCUUGUGCUGACAGCCCACGGCACGGCCAGCAGUAUCAGGGAAAGGCAGGCGCAAGGUCAUGAUGUCUGCCCUGCACAGGCCUAAUAACCCUUCCUUUAUUGCAAGGCGCAACCGAAAAGGUUUGACUCAUGCACUCCAGUGCUUGUCAGGAUGCUUUUUAGGCUAAACUAAAAUGCAGUGUUCCUUUAUCAGGGAGGGGCAGCAGGACUAUCAGAAUAGCCAUCGAGUCAAGCCUUAGCCGUCUGUGGUUUUCCUCCCAGGACAGGCCUGCAGCAAAGUUUUGGGAAGGAGUGUAAGCAACAACACAGAGAUUUGGUUGUCCACAGCUUCUGGCAAGGAGUGGCUUAAGUCCUGUGCUGUAGGUUGCAUCCUGACCACUGUGUUUACUGACCCUCUGAACUCAGAGUCCUCUUCCCAAACCUCUCAUCUGUCUGACCUGCACACUGUGCUGAGCAAUGCAAUCCAUUACUCCAGCAAUACUUUGUGUGGGGAAAAAAAUACUUCCUUUUGUUUAACAUGUGCGUGCUUUGCAUGCUUGAUGCUUAGCAGGGAGCCACCUGGGGCCAUUGCUAGUAUUAAGGUGUUCUAAUACCCAGCAUCAGGUACAGAAUCAACAGGAGUGACUCAAAAGUCACUUAGAGCUUCUCAUUUCAUGGGAAUAGUAAGGUGUGCUUGGAAGCAUGGUGGUGAAGACCGGUGCAAGGUUGUAUCUGUGAACAGCUUAGCUUCAGAGAAUUUCAGACCUUUGAAGUUGUUUAAUCCUGAUCAUUUCUCACCUUAAAUCUUGGCAUCUGUUGGCAGAGGCAGCAAGGCAGAAGGUGUCUGCAUCUAUGGCCUGUAGAGAGAGGAUGGAGCUUUUUGUUUAGUUCAAGUGCCUUUACUGUCCUUGCUUUCCUCCUUUGCUAUGUGCACAGUGCACAACAGCAGGGCAGUGGAACAGCAGCAUUGGGCUAGAUGUGGACAGAUUGUAUUUCAAAUUCUCAAUUAAAACCAAGUCCAAAACCAUGGGUUCUGGUCCACAGCUUUGCUUUAAUUCUCCGAGGGUCCAUGAUGGAAUGUAUAAACAGUGCAAUCUCAGCAGACAGGUAUUGCCCGUGGCACUCCAGUUCUCCAUGGCGUCACAGCUCUCUGAACUACAUGGGAUACGGGUGAGGAGCCUCACCUCCUGCACACCUCUGUCACAGCCUCUGGGUCAGGCUUGUCCAUAGAAGCCACAGAAGCAGGGGUGCAGUCUCUCUCAGGUGAGUAGUGACUCCGAGGAGCCUUAGCCCCUUGAAGCUGAGCACUGCAGCUGAGCUGCUAUGGACUUGUUGCCAUUACUUGUUAGAAUAUGUAGUAAGCCUAGGAUGGCUUUUUGCCUAGGUCUAACAAUGUCCUUUGGAUAGUGGAAUGCUUCAGCAGUUGGGCUGAUACUGAAAUCCUUACUCAGUUUUGAGAGAACGGCUGAGGAUGUAGAAUCAUAGAAUAGUUAGGGUUGGAAAGGACCUUAAGAUCGUCUCGUUCCAACAGUCAUUCUUGUUCAGUUCCCUUGUUACCGAUGUUGUGCUGCUAUUUCACUUCUUAUUCUUUUUAAAGAAUUAAGGUGCUGGACGCGCGCUCAGGAGGGGCUCAGAACUGAUCAGAGAGGCUCAUCAGAGCUGUGUAGAAAUGUUUUGGGCUUUAGGUUUCUUUUCCUGCACUAGCAAGUAGUGCAGCCCAGGAGGAGCUGGACAGUUGUCAGUGCGGACACUACACGUUUCAUGAGGGUUUCUUUCAGGCCAGAAUUAGUGGGGACAGGCAGGAGUUGCAUGCUCCUGUUUGAACUAAAAUGCUAAUUUAGCCACACAAAGGCAAGGCAAACAUGAGCUGUUGCUGCCUGCUGUGACCAAAGGAUCAUCUAUGGUUCAGUCUACAGCAUUUCUAAGAAGAAGGAGCACCACAAGCCCUCUGCAGUAGUCGUGCAUCCUAACCCCCUCCCCGGCUCUGCUUCACACCUCCUGGUGCACAUGCAGCGUGGGUCACUCGGUCUCCAAGCAGUGAGCUUACAGGCAAACACGGCACUACUUCUAUACCUUUAAGAGUACUAGAUAGCACGUAGUGAGACCAGAAACCUCAUAGUUUGCUAUCUGAAUAUUCCUUUAUCAUCAGAUGUUACCAUGAGCCCAGUGUAACUUGCAGAAGAGAGGUACAGGGAGAAUGAUGCUGUUUAAAAGCUUGGAUUACAUUUUAUUGAGGAAAUAGGAAUGAUAGGUAAGUUGAGACAGAACAGCUGUGGCAGGCAGUGCUGCAGCCUGGCCUCUCACAUCCACGGCUUUGACCAAAGGUCAGAGUUGUCUCCCUUUGCUGGCUGUUAAAGGACAAUGGUACCUGCUAGCUGGAGGUGGUUAAUGAAGGACACAGUAUGAUCUCAGGCUGCUAUGACAGUGACACGCUUCAGGUGAUUUCCCUUGGCUUUGUACAUUGGUGAAGGGAAGUCAGUUACUCCUGAUUCUCCUUAAGAAAGAGUGAGUACGUUACAGACACUGUACUGUAACAGAGCUCUGUGUCAGUGUGUCAGAAUGUCCUGUUUCUCCCAGCAGUCCAUCAAAUAUUGCAUCAAUACUGAAGGUGUCAAAAGCGAGUGCAGAUAAAAUUACCACAGAGCUGUA